ACGGCUCAGUAACACGUGGUCAAUCUACCCUCAGGACGGAGAUAACCUCGGGAAACUGAGGCUAAUAUCCGAUAGAUAAUGGAUCCUGGAAUGGUUCAUUAUUCAAACGGCACAUUGCUCAUGCGCAGUGUGUCGCCUGAGGAUGAGACUGCACCCUAUCAGGUAGUUGGUGGGGUAAUGGCCCACCAAGCCUAUAACGGGUACGGGCCCUGAGAGGGGGAGCCCGGAGAUGGGCACUGAGACAAGGGCCCAGGCCCUACGGGGCGCAGCAGGCGCGAAACCUCUGCAAUGCGCGAAAGCGCGACAGGGCCACCCCGAGUGCUAGCCGCUGAGGUUAGCUUUUCCUUAGUGUAGUAAGCUAAGGGAAUAAGCGGGGGGCAAGCCUGGUGUCAGCCGCCGCGGUAAUACCAGCUCCGCGAGUGGUCGGGACGAUUAUUGGGCCUAAAGCGUCCGUAGCCGGCCUAUCAAGUCUCUGGUUAAACCUCAAGGCUCAACUUUGAGAUCGCUGGAGAUACUGUUAGGCUAGGGGGCGGGAGAGGUUGAGGGUACUCCGCGGGUAGGGGCGAAAUCCUAUAAUCCGCGAAGGACCACCAGUGGCGAAGGCGCUCAACUGGAACGCGCCCGACGGUGAGGGACGAAAGCCAGGGGAGCAAAGGGGAUUAGAUACCCCCGUAGUCCUGGCUGUAAACGAUGCGGGCUAGGUGUUGGGUUGGCUUCGUGCCAACCCGGUGCCGCAGUGAAGACGAUAAGCCCGCCGCCUGGGAAGUACGGCUGCAAGGCUGAAACUUAAAGGAAUUGGCGGGGGAG
rnacentral:rRNA from 1 species